AGAGGGUAAAAGAACCUGAACCGUUACGGGGGAAGCGGAUUGCGUUAGCCUGGUGGCUACCUGUGUGUUCAGCCUUUAUGGUGCAUUGAUGCAGGUGGUUAUCUGUCGUGGCUUUUCGGUGGCUGAUAUUGAGUUGCUGAAGGGUGAGGGCUCCCCUUUUGGGUGAGGACGACGGAGUGAUGACGCGAUACGACCCGUCUUGAAACACGGACCAAGGAGUCUAGCGCGGGUGCGAGUCAGAGGGUUGUAAACCCGUGGGCGAAGUGAAAGCAAGUUUUUUUUACAAAACGAGCAGUUUGGGGCGGCAUAGAAUCGUUGAUUCUAGGUCUGACCUUGAGCAGUUGCGCUGGGACCCGAAAGAUGGUGAACUAUGCCGGAGUAGGGCGAAGCCAGAAGAAAUUCUGGUGGAGGCUCGUAGCGGUGCUGACGUGCAAAUCGCUCGUCGAACUUGGGUAUAGGGGCGAAAGACUAAUCGAACCAUCUAGUAGCUGGUUUCCUCCGAAGUUUCUCUCAGGAUAGCAGGCCGACACGAGUUGUUUUGUGCGGUAAAGCGAAUGAUUAGCGCAUUCGGGGGCGUUUAGCCUUCGGGCGAUUCUCAAACUUUAAAUGCGCAAGGGUACCGGUGCUUUGUUGAGCGGUACCGUUAAAAACGUCGGCCUUGUGGGCCACUUUUGGU
rnacentral:rRNA from 1 species